AAGGACUGGAAUCCAAGUCUUGGACUACGACAUGUUCUCAUUGUAGUGAGGUGUUUAUUGAUUGAACCAUUCCCAGAAUCAGCCUUAAAUGAACAGGCUGGCAAAAUGCUACUUGAAAAUUAUGAGGAAUAUGCUAGACAUGCCAGGCUAUACACUGGAAUUCAUGCUAAAUCAAAACCUAAAUUCAAGUCAGGAGCUAUUUCUGAGUCAACUACGGCUUUGAAUUUUGAUCAAAGUAAUUCCUCAGUUCUCAACAGUGACCAGAAGAACAAAGCAGUCAGUACUGCAAUAGCGUUGCCAUCCCCAUUGGCUCCUUGUACAACAGUUACAAAAGGAGGAAAUGGUCAGGAUCAGCCGGCCAUUGUUGCUCCAGUGCCUGAGACAGGAGCUGGAGGAUCUGUGACAGUCGCAACACCAGCAAUCAGUACUCCGAAGAAGGAAGGUGGAACAGCAAAAGUUCAGCUAGACAAGAGAAAAAUGGAUGCAAGGAAGAAGAGCUUAAAGAGAUUGUAAUCAAUGGAGAGGCGCCAUGUAAGUGAUGGGAAUGGGUCUGAUGUAAGGAAUAUUUCCGUUGGGAG
rnacentral:misc_RNA from 1 species